rnacentral:rRNA from 1 species
AGAGUUUGAUCCUGGCUCAGGACGAACGCUGGCGGCGUGCUUAACACAUGCAAGUCACGGGGGCCCGCAAGGGCAACCGGCGAACGGGUGCGUAACACGUGAGCAACCUACCUCGAUGUGGGGGAUAGCCGGCCCAACGGCCGGGUAAUACCGCAUACGAUUCUUUGGGGGAGUCCCCAGGGAAGGAAACCUCCGGGGCA